rnacentral:rRNA from 1 species
AUUGAACGCUGGCGGCAUGCUUUACACAUGCAAGUCGAACGGUAACAGCACUUCGGUGGCUGACGAGUGGCGAACGGGUGAGUAAUACAUCGGAACGUGCCUAGUAGUGGGGGAUAACUACUCGAAAGAGUAGCUGAUACCGCAUGAGAUCUAAGGAUGAAAGCAGGGGACCUUCGGGCCUUGCGCUACUAGAGCGGCUGAUGGCAGAUUAGGUAGUUGGUGGGAUAAAAGCUUACCAAGCCGACGAUCUGUAGCUGGUCUGAGAGGACGACCAGCCACACUGGGACUGAGACACGGCCCAGACUCCUACGGGAGGCAGCAGUGGGGAAUUUUGGACAAUGGGCGCAAGCCUGAUCCAGCAAUGCCGCGUGCAGGAUGAAGGCCUUCGGGUUGUAAACUGCUUUUGUACGGAACGAAAAGCCCUCUUCUAAUACAGGAGGGUCAUGACGGUACCGUAAGAAUAAGCACCGGCUAACUACGUG